CAGCAGUAGCCGCGGUAAUACAGAGGGUGCGAGCGUUAAUCGGAUUUACUGGGCGUAAAGCGUGCGUAGGCGGCUUUUUAAGUCGGAUGUGAAAUCCCUGAGCUUAACUUAGGAAUUGCAUUCGAUACUGGGAAGCUAGAGUAUGGGAGAGGAUGGUAGAAUUCCAGGUGUAGCGGUGAAAUGCGUAGAGAUCUGGAGGAAUACCGAUGGCGAAGGCAGCCAUCUGGCCUAAUACUGACGCUGAGGUACGAAAGCAUGGGGAGCAAACAGGAUUAGAUACCCCGGUAGUCCCUGUCUCUUAUAC
rnacentral:rRNA from 1 species